rnacentral:rRNA from 1 species
UGGGGAAUAUUGGACAAUGGGCGCAAGCCUGAUCCAGCCAUGCCGCGUGAGUGAUGAAGGCCCUAGGGUUGUAAAGCUCUUUCAACGGUGAAGAUAAUGACGGUAACCGUAGAAGAAGCCCCGGCUAACUUCGUGCCAGCAGCCGCGGUAAUACGAAGGGGGCUAGCGUUGUUCGGAUUUACUGGGCGUAAAGCGCACGUAGGCGGAUCGUUAAGUGAGGGGUGAAAUCCCAGGGCUCAACCCUGGAACUGCCUUUCAUACUGGCGAUCUGGAGUUCGAGAGAGGUGAGUGGAAUUCCGAGUGUAGAGGUGAAAUUCGUAGAUAUUCGGAGGAACACCAGUGGCGAAGGCGGCUCACUGGCUCGAUACUGACGCUGAGGUGCGAAAGCGUGGGGAGCAAACAGGAUUAGAUA